GCAUCUGUGGUCUUCACAGAGGUCGCAGGGUCUUAAGUGACGCUUUCCACAGAACUCUCUUGGCCCCAGUGCUGGGAACCUGCCUGCAGUCCAGUCUGUGGUCCUCAGCAGGGCACGGUGCCCACUUUUACUUGCCUCAGGAUGCAGCAUUAGUUGGGACAAUCCACAUGGUGUUUCCCAAGAGGAAAUCUCGUGAGACCACCACCCUGCGGACUUCUGGUUCAAAGGACCAGUGGGACUCUCCAGAGGGAUAAGGAUCCUAUCCUAUCGUCCUCAGCUCUGGAGAAAUGCAGUAAGUUUGGACUUUAGAACUAUGUUCCUUUUGGAAUUUGCUUCUCCAAUGAGUCUGAGAGCACACUGGCCCACAUGGGGUGAGGGGACGGCACAGCACCAGCCAAGAUCUGGAACCUGCCUGUCGCCUCCUGCAUACCAUUUGACUUUGAUGCUCAACACAAAAAGAAAACUCCGGCUGUCUGCCUCUCCCUCAGCUCAGAGGAAGGCAGCCUUGCUUACAGGGUAACUGGGAGACACUCCCCGGCCAGGUCUGAGUGGAGAGGUCUCAGCAAGCUUGUAGGACACAGCCAAUGUCCCUGAAACUGAGGGAUGUCAGCUUUCUUCACACUCCUGGUGAUAUAUAAACCGGACAGUGGCUGAGAACAGAGAUGAAAAGUGGCCAGGAAGAAGAAUCUGGAUAUCUCAGAAAGCAUCCAAAGCAGAUUACAGAACCAGGACAUAGCAAUUGUCUAAAGCAAAAUGACAGAGACCCACACACUCUGUCUCACACACAUGGCCAGAAAGCACUGUGUCAAAAUGUUAGGGUAGUUAUCGCUGGGCCCCAGGAUGACAGCAUUUUUUCCCUUUUUGCUUGCAUUUUCUCUUUUUUCUGCAAGGGACUUAAAGAACAAGGGGAUUCACAUGUUGGAAGUAUGGUCCUCAGUGUGGUGAUGUGACAGGCUACGAGACCUGAAGAAGUGGAGCCCACCGGGAAGUCACCAAAGACAUUACCCUCAGAUGGGACUAAAACUGGUCUCUUGGAGUUGUUCUUGUGAAAGCUGGUUAUGAAAAGGCAAGCUCAAUCCCUCCCACUUCCUGCCUCUGCAUGUGAUCCUUCCCUCUCACAUAUGUUCCCAUCACAAUACCAUCUGCCAUGAUGUGGUGCAGCCAGGGGCCCUCACCAGAGCCAGUGCCAUGCUCUUCAUACAGUUCACUUCCAAACUGUGUGCUAAAUAAACCUCCUCUCUUUAUUCAUUU